rnacentral:rRNA from 1 species
AUUGAACGCUGGCGGCAGGCCUAACACAUGCAAGUCGAACGAGUGGCGGACGGGUGAGUAAUGUCUGGGAAACUGCCUGAUGGAGGGGGAUAACUACUGGAACCGGUAGCUAAUACCGCAUACCAUCAGAUGUGCCCAGAUGGGAUUAGCUUGUUGUUGGGGUAACGGCUCACAAAGGCGACGAUCACUAGCUGGUCUGAGAGGAUGAACAGCCACACGGGAACGGGGACACGGGCCAGACUCCUACGGGAGGCAGCAGUGGGGAAUAUGUCACAAUGGGCGCAAGCCUGAUGCAGCAAUGCCGCGUGUAUGAAGAAGGCCUUCGGGUGGUAAAGUACUUUCAGCGGGGAGGCGUUACCCGCAGAAGAAGCACCGGCUAACUCCGUGCCAGCCGCCGCGGUAAUAC